rnacentral:rRNA from 1 species
CACGUAGUUAGCCGUCCCUUUCUGGUAAGCUACCGUCACAGUGUGAACUUUCCACUCUCACACUCGUUCUUGACUUACAACAGAGCUUUACGAUCCGAAAACCUUCUUCACUCACGCGGCGUUGCUCGGUCAGGGUUGCCCCCAUUGCCGAAGAUUCCCUACUGCUGCCUCCCGUAGGAGUCUGGGCCGUGUCUCAGUCCCAGUGUGGCCGAUCACCCUCUCAGGUCGGCUAUGUAUCGUCGCCUAGGUGAGCCGUUACCUCACCUACUAGCUAAUACAACGCAGGUCCAUCUUGUAGUGGAGCAGUUGCCCCUUUCAAAUGAAUGACAUGGGUCACCCAUUGUUAUGCGGUAUUAGCUAUCGUUUCCAAUAGUUAUCCCCCGCUACAAGGCAGGUUACCUACGCGUUACUCACCCGUUCGCAACUCUUCCAAGAAGAGCAAGCUCCUCUCUUCAGCGUUCUACUUGCAUGUAUUAGGCACGCCGCCAGCGUUCGU